AGAUGCACUCUUCCACUUCAUCCAUCCAGCUUUUUACCAAAAAAUAAAAGAAAGUUUUAAACUUCAACCAAAAAAUAAAAAUUAGAAAUUAAAAAAUUAAAAAAAAAUCCAAAAAGAUAAAGCAAGAGUAGAGACAGAGCGAAGCAAGGAAACUUUUUACCAGGUUUAAGAGUGAAUCAAACUCCCAUCAAACAACUUACGAACCCAGUAAACAAAUCUCUCGUGGACUCAGCCUUUCACAUCCCAACAACUUUAAAAUACAGAGAGCGACAAAAACACAGAGGACUACAUGCAUAUUGUUGACGACAUGCGGAUGAGAAGCUGCUGGUCUAGAGGACGACAUGCAACCGGUUGAGGUGUUGGGAGAAAAACUGUAGAAGCUUUUAGAAGAGGAAUCCGGAAAGUGAUAUGAAAAGGAGUGGAGGUGGUAAUUACCAAGUUGAGAACGGUAUCGAUGUUGUUGGAGUUGGGCCCUCCACCUGUCUCUUUGAUAAUUCAACAUGUUAUCAAAGCCAGAAAACGGGCUCGUACUGUACUGCCACAUGAUGAGUGAGACCCCUUGACCUCACGCGAUGAUGGUGGGUCCCAUGACCCCUUGUGUAGGGUGAGUCCUCUUGGCUCCACGUGGUUGUCGAUGUGUGAAUUUCUCACGUGUGACCCACUAAUUGGGUCCCACGUGAGGGGGCGUGUUGAAAUGUCUCACAUCAAUCGUAUCAAUGAAAAAAAAAAAGAGUUUAAAUAUCCUAACCCCACUCCAACUAAAACUGAGGCAUUUUGUGAUAAAACCCCGCACCUAACGAAUUAUGCAGGUGGUAAUUACCAAGUUGGGAACAAUGUCAAUGUUGUUGGAGUUGGGCAAUCGGCCUGUCUCUCUGAUAAUUCAAUAGCAUGGACAUGAAAAUUGUCACGCCCCGAACCCAACAUACGUCCAGGAUCGACGCGUGACGUCAUCCAGUAUUCGUAUAUCUAACAGAUCCCGCCUCCGAGAUAUGUACAAGGCAUAACUCAAGAUCCAACUGCGUAAUAAUUUUUCGUAAGCUUUAUGGCUGCAUCUAACCUCCUCGUUAGACUGCCUAUGUACUCUAAACAGGGAUCAAGCCAUUCGUAGUUCAUCGAUCACUAUCCAUCUACAUUUACCACAAUACAUUCAAGCCGAAAGAUAUAGCAUUCCUCAAUCAAUCAUUAGAAUUUGACAAGUAUGGAAGUACUAGAUUCAAGGCUACAUAACAAUCCAAUAUGACAAUCAAGGUUUCCAUUCCACCUCUCAUAUAAGUCACUAUGUUUUCAACAUGAAACCUUAAUCUACCACAUGUAACAUAUCCAAGAACCAACAAAGCACAAUAUUAUUCUCAAUGCCACAUUGAGCAACGAGACUAAUCAUAAUAAUAACAAUCAUAUCCCACAUCAUUCCGCAAUCAUUCUACUUAAUCACUCCUAAAAUCAAAGAUGCAUGAUAUCUACAAUUACUAUGUUAUUCAAUCAAUAAGGUCCCAUAUCAAUUCACAAAUUUUAAUAAAGGAUCUCUUCAUAUUUCCCCACCUGGAUUCCAAGUACUAACCUGAUAAGUCUAAUUUUUCUACUGUGAACAAUUCAUAUUCACUCGACUCUAAGGUCGAAUUACCUUUACGGAAAGGAGCAAGAGUAGGGAUUCCAGCCCACUCAACAUAAUCCAACCAAAAUACCAAGCGACCUCUUGUAAUCUCUUCAAACCUGACAUCUGUACAAUCAGUGCCUACACCAUGGAAAUGGUGUAUCGGCAUCAAGAAUUCAAAUAAGCUACAAAGCUUGGGUGAGUGACAAUAGUACAAGUAUGUGAUAAUAAUGACAAAGCUAACCAUUACUCACCGUUUACAUCUCUUGAAUAUAAAUUAUUCAUAAGAAAUCAAUACCAAACUUUUGUAAACCCCGAAGGAGUCACCUAGACAUCCAACGGUUCGUCUGAAAUCCAUCACAACAUCUCACACCCAUCUUCUCAUACAACACAAUGGAAAGUAGGGUUAGAGCGACACAGUUAGGCCGAAGCCUACACCUUUGAAGCCAUCUAAAUUCUUCAAUGAACCCCAAGGUGAGUACGAUCUCGGACCAUCACUCAACGGAAUCGCGAAAUAGGAGGGAUUCUGGACCAUCUCUCAACGGAAUCCAAAUUAGAAUACGAUUCCGGAUCAUCACUCAACGGAAUCGCGGAGUAAAAGGGAUUCCGGACCAUCUCUCAACGGAAUCCAAACCGAGAUACGAUUCCAGAACAUCACUCAACGGAAUCAUAGUGUAGAAGGGAUUCCGAACCAUCACUCAACGGAAUCCACGCAAGGAUAUGAUUCCGGAACAUCACUCAACAGAAUCCAAACAAGCAUAAGAUUCCCCCAUCAAAUGUACCAAGUACAACUACUACAUGGUGUAGUAAAUUCAACACCUCAACUUAUCCACAUCUCAACCCCUAUGAGUUACAACGUAGUCACCUACACCAUCAAUUUCUCGAGGUCACCACUAAUAUGUCACGCAAGCAUAUAAGUGUUACAACAUACUUCUAAUAGGAGUCUAGGAUCACAUUGUUGUAAAAAUAAUCACACACAUCAUUCACAUAACUAAAAAGAUAAUUUAACUCACAUAAGUCACAACCAUCAUCUGGUCAUAUGGAGCACAACACAAGAAAUUCCCUUAAUUACUGUUUCUACUAAAAACUAAUAAAGUACCUGACUCAUCUUCUGACUUUCAUCUCUAUCCCACACUAGGUAGUAAUGCUAAGUUCAUAUAGGUAUUCAAUUGGCAAUCAUAUCCAAAUAUUUAUCAAACAAUAUUUAGAUCCCAAAUUAAUACGAACAAUAAAGAAUAAUACUUAUAAUGGAGUUUCCCUAGAACCUCCUACCUCGUGUCCGACUAUCUUUGUCAACACAAGUCCUCCAAACUUUCCAGCACAACAUCUGAAUCUAAACCAAUUUACAAACACAUGAACAAAUGAAAACAAACACAAGUAAACGCAUAUUAGCAAGCAUGGAAGCGAGUAAUUACAAAUUAUUAACUUGUGUAGCAUAGACAUUAUUUUAGUGCAACUUAUACUUCAAAUAACAACACUAGUAUAAAUCAAAAGUAAUUUAAAGCAAAACAGGAGAAUGAUUGAGUACUAAAGAAACAAUACUCCUCCACAACAGCUGCAUAAAAACUGCUUUGAUCAACCAAAUUGAAACUCACUUUUGAAAGCUCAAUUCUGAACUAAACGGUACGAACUUAAAUGUUUUUGGAGACAUGUGUUGUGUAAUUUAUAACCAAAUAAUGUUGGUAGAAAACAAAGCUCUAAAUUGGAAGUAUGCCAAUUAUAAAAUGGAUCCCAAAACUAGAAAUGCAGAACUUGCUAUUUGGCAGCUUUGUGACUCAAAUUUGAUCAUAGUUUUGGUCAACCAAAACUCAAUGGAAUUAAGUGAAAUCAGAUGGGUUUUGAUCAUGGACAUGUCUAUUUUCAAAACACACAAUAUUAGUUCAAAGGAGCUCACAAGGACAUAGAAAUCAAGAGCCAAAGUAGGCUAAUUGAAACAUAGUUUCCCUAUGCAAAAUGAAUAAGUUUUCUGCAAUGUAAAACCCAUAUUAGUUUAAUCCAAUUUACAAUUUCAGGGCAAUCCCAAACUAUCCAGGAAUCAUAUUCAACUUCUAUUUCAAUGUGUUAGCUUACCUAUAACAUGCUUAAUUCUUCCUCUUUUAGCCAAAGACUACAAACAAUUCAAUAAAAUUAAAGUAUGUACCAUUUCUUGUUCUUGUCCUGCCCUCCAAAGUUGUUCAUCAAUCUCCACUUAGCUACUAAGCUCUUGAAUCAAUGUUACCACCACAACUCCCCAUCAAGAACACCAAAAAUUCAAGUUAAACACAUAAAUCUCAAACUUGUGGGAAAAUAAAACUUUAAAUUCGAAAGAUCCACUUACACAUCCUGGAAGUGCAUGAAGAGAGGAGUAUUAUUCCCUCUUGGUUCAAGACCUAUCUCCGGCGAGGUUAGCCGGAAUCGGCGAAAAGAUCACAAAAGUCGUCGAAGCUUGUAGGCUUCAAAAUAUGGGCACGUUUGGUUCCAGCAUAUGGGUUUGGUACCAAUUGAAGAGCGCUUCGCUACGAAUACAUAGGCUUCGACCGUGCAUGAUUUCAUUGCCGUACGAGAAAGUUAUGAUUCCAUGAAGUUUUUGGAGUGAAGGAGAAAUAAAAGGGUAGAAGAAUUAACACCCCCACCUUUGUUUUUCACGCAGGAAGAAGAAAAAGGAAGUCCUUGGCUUCCAGAAAGUUCCACUUGAAUUUACUAAAAUGUCCGUAACUAUACCGUUAUAAUCCGGACUCGUAAACGGUUUUCACUUAUGCGUUCGUGAUCUCGAUAUCUAUUCAACAAUAUAAUUUGUGACCUCGAAUAGUCUACGGAUUUUGAAUAAUUAAUUUUCCAAAAAAUAUAAAAUCUCAAUAACACUAAUACGUAUAAUAUAAUAGUUAAAUUCAGGAACGGAAUUUCACAAAAAUAGGUUUCAGUACUUUAAAUUUUGAGAUUCGUGUUCAAGUCACACUUAAAGUCUGACUUGCCUCUACAAUCACCAACUUUCAAUGGACGCCAUUUAUAUGUAUGAAAAAAAAGAAGAUAAAAACUCUCAAUUUCUCGUCUCGAUACAUAAAAUGUUAAACAAGAGACCUUAUCCCAAUCCAAUCUGCCCUUUGUAAACAAACCAAAUCAUAUUGAUUUAUGUCAUCUUUUAUUUGAGAUAUAGAUGGGAAUACUUUGUAUCCCCGUAUGACUCUUUGUAAUUCAAUAUUAUUUAUAUGCUGUCAAUGAAUGAAUAUGAGCUACAACUUCUACAAUUCAAUUUCCUUGUUACAGGUUUUCUACAUAAAAGCAUUAAACAAAACACAUGAAGAUAUUAAUAUAAAACAAGUAGUCGACAUUCUACACACAUAUAUUAUCUAUAUUAUCUAUUCUAAAGUUGAGGAAGGAUAUAUUAUCUAUUCUAAAGUUGAGGAAGGAUUUGAUUGCAGCUUUAGCUAUAGUCAAAUCUUUGUCACUCGAUUUUGCUUUAUUUACACCAUUGCAAUCAAAUCUGAGACUGGGUUGGAGGGUAAAUAUUAAAAGUUAGGAGGGUAAUUUUGUCUCUGAACAGAUUUCGAUAUAUUUACGGUUUUGCCAGUCUAUUCAUGUUUGUUUUGAAAUGGGCCCUCGAUUUUGUGUUAUUUACAUUCCUGCCAUUGCCAAAAAGCAUGGGUUGCAGAGACAGAGAGGGAGAUAGGCGGGGGAUGGCAGGGAGGGGAAGGGAAAGGGAGGAGUGAGGUUGCCAUAAAAGGGGUUAGGGUUUAUUUUGGUCUCCUCAAAUCAAGGGUUGGUGUCGGGAUUGAGGGAUGGGUCGAAAUUGCCACGAGAAGCCUAAAUUAAUGGGUAGCUGUCGGUGUUUGAGAGAUUGAGAGGGAGAAAAUUGAGGGAGGUUGUCACUGACCCGAUUGAGUGAGGGAUUUUGUGAGGAUUACACUGACUUAUUGACUAGCAACACAAGACAAGACAUGCUUCCGGUAAACCGCCUCCGUCGUUUUCAUCCUCUCGCCUCCGUCUACCUCCUCUCCCCUUCGUCGUCUCCCUCAUCCUCUCUCUCUUUGGAAUCAAUCGAUCUUCGAAGAGGAUAAAAAAGAUCUGAAAUGGUGUGCUUCUUCUACUGUGAUUCUGUGUUUUUAAUUUUUUUUGGGUUUGGCUUCUUGUGUUAUUCCACUGUCUAUUUAUUUACGAAAAUAAUGAUUUUUGUACAUUUUGUUUUAUUUUACGUUUUGUCAUAUUUCAUUGCAAUAUCAAAUAAAGUUGGUAUUUUAAAAUCUCACAGUAAUUUUUUUUUUUUGUUAUAUUGUUGGUGGGUAUCUUUAAUUAUGCCUUGGAGGAGGAGGGCAAAGAGAGGACAGACCUGGGUUUGGGGCAUAAAAGGGAUCUUCAGAUUUAUGUAAAAGUACUUUGUGCCUUUUUGCUAUUGGUGAUGAGUGUUCAUGAAUAUUUAUGCUUUAAUAUAGCUGUUACAGGAGCAAA